rnacentral:lncRNA from 1 species
UCACCGUUUCUAUGUUCCCUCAGAUGAGGAAGAUAAUGAGGAACCGAUCGCUAACCUACGCCUUGAAGUCUAUGAGGAUCCCAUAAAUCCAAAACCUUGAUAUUCAUGACUUGUCCCACACUCUAAUGAGUCCAUUCAAAUAGUGAAAGAAGUGGCCUUUUUUGUAUUUUGAUAUUCUAUAUUUUGUUGCCACUUCCAACCUCAGUUAUA